GACGAACGCUGGCGGCGUGCUUAACACAUGCAAGUCGAACGAAGUGGCGAACGGGUGAGUAACGCGUAAUCAACCUGCCCUUCAGGGGGGGACAACAGUUGGAAACGAAUGCUAAUACCGCAUACUGAAGGAGGGGUUUGCGUCUGAUUAGCUAGUUGGAGGGGUAACGGCCCACCAAGGCGAGGAUCAGUAGCCGUGCUGAGAGGAUGAACGGCCAAAUUGGGACUGGGACACGGCCCAGACUCCUACGGGAGGCAGGAGUGGGGAAUCUUCCCAAAUGGACGAAAGGCUGACGGAGCAACGCCGCGGGGGUGAUGACGGCCUUCGGGUUGUAAAGCUCUGUUAAUCGGGACGCGGUACCGGAAUAGAAAGCCACGGCUAACUACGUGCCAGCAGCCGCGGUAAUAC
rnacentral:rRNA from 1 species